rnacentral:rRNA from 1 species
GACAGAGGGUGCAAACGUUGUUCGGAAUUACUGGGCGUAAAGCGCGUGUAGGCGGCUAUGCAAGUCGGAUGUGAAAGCCCUCGACUCAACCGGGGAAGUGCACCCGAAACUGCAAAGCUAGAGUCUCGGAGAGGAUCGUGGAAUUCUCGGUGUAGAGGUGAAAUUCGUAGAUAUCGAGAGGAACACCGAUGGCGAAGGCGGCGAUCUGGACGAUGACUGACGCUGAGACGCGAAAGCGUGGGAAGCAAACAGG